rnacentral:lncRNA from 1 species
AGGAAGACCUCAAAUCGUCCUUUUCGGUUCUUCAAUCGUUCAGUACAGCUUCAUCAAUGGUGGCUGGGGAGCCUCUCUCGCUGACGUCUACUCUCGCACGGUUUCUCAUCUUCAUUUCCCUUCGAUGUUUCCCAUUUUGAGUGGCAUGUAGCUAUUGAAUCUGUUAUCAAACUUACUGGUCGCAAGUGGAGAACUUUCACUCAUUAUUUGUGUUCAGUAUCAACACCAUAAUGAUUAAUGAUGUAGCACUUACGGAUACAAUCUUUUCAUGCAUGUUCACAGGCUGACAUCAUCCUUCGUGGUUAUGGUGGUUGGAACUCUAGAUAUGCCUUAAAGGUCCUUGACCAAGUCUUCCCAAAGGUACAUAAACUCUGUUCCGACAAGUGUAGUUGAACAAGCGAACUAGCUAUGUUUUAGUUAUAGCAUCUCCAAUAUAAAACUUAUUUUGGAGGUAGAUGAUAUUUAAAAUGAGAGUUUUAAGAGUUGUUCCAAAGAUAAACCUCAAAUUAAUAUAUCUCUAAGUUUUUUUGCAUUUUUCAUUUAAUAAUAAAUAACUAUAAUCACCAAACUUCAGUAAAUGAAUAAUAAUACAUACCAAAAAUAUUAUACACAAUAUUUACAACUUAUGUAUAUUUUGGUUUCAUUAAAUGAGCAUAUCUUUAGUUUCUUAAAAAGUGCAUGAGCUAGGGAAAAUGGUUACAAAAUGAUACAAUUGUGUAUAUAACAUUUCAAUUUUACAUAAUACUAUUCCAUAUUAAUAAUUUAAUUUUAAUUUUAACAUAUUUAUAUAUUUUACGUAUUAAUAAUAUAUAUACAAGAUAUAUUUGAAUAUUUAAGUAAAAUAUAAUUAUAAAGAUAAAAAUGAUAAGAAAAUCAAUAUUAGUAGAACCAUAUGUAAGUUCAGUAAUUAUAACGAGUGAAAUGAAAAGUAAAUAGUGUGGACUUUUAAGGUUUAGUGGAGAUGUUCUUAUAGUGAAAGUGUCUCUCCUUAUGUAAGAUUCUUUACUGAUAAGCCUUUUUACAAAAAGAAUUAGCCUUUCUUGGCGUAUAUUUUUUGUUUUGUUUUGCUUAGGAUGCUGUAGUACAACCUUCUUUGGUGAUAGUCUACUUCGGUGGGAAUGAUUCAAAGGCUCCUCAUCCAUCAGGCCAUGGACCUCAUGUUCCUCUAUCUGAAUUCAUUGAAAACAUGAGGAAGAUUGGGGAGCAUCUUUUGGUAAUUAUGCCCUUUUCAAAGUUGGAGACAUUUUUCUUUAUGUGUUGCUUACUCAUGGUGUCUUCUUUUUUAACAGAGCCUUUCGGAUAAGACCCGUGUCAUUUUUCUCUCUCCCCCACCAAUGAAUGAGACACAAAUCCAAUUAGUUUUUGGGUACAUAUAUCUUUGAGUCUGCUUAAUCUUCCUAUUAAUUAGUAUUAGAAGCUUGAUCAAUAUCACUUUGUAACAUUGGUAGAAAUGCAAUAAAAGGACGGAGUAACGAAGUUUGCCGUCCAUAUGCAGAAGCGUUGUUGAAUCUAUGCAAUGAGAUUAAUGUAAAAAGUGUUGAUAAUAUUUAUAUAUUUUACGUAUUAAUAAUAUAUAUACAAGAUAUAUUUGAAUAUUUAAGUAAAAUAUAAUUAUAAAGAUAAAAAUGAUAAGAAAAUCAAUAUUAGUAGAACCAUAUGUAAGUUCAGUAAUUAUAACGAGUGAAAUGAAAAGUAAAUAGUGUGGACUUUUAAGGUUUAGUGGAGAUGUUCUUAUAGUGAAAGUGUCUCUCCUUAUGUAAGAUUCUUUACUGAUAAGCCUUUUUACAAAAAGAAUUAGCCUUUCUUGGCGUAUAUUUUUCGUUUUGUUUUGCUUAGGAUGCUGUAGUACAACCUUCUUUGGUGAUAGUCUACUUCGGUGGGAAUGAUUCAAAGGCUCCUCAUCCAUCAGGCCAUGGACCUCAUGUUCCUCUAUCUGAAUUCAUUGAAAACAUGAGGAAGAUUGGGGAGCAUCUUUUGGUAAUUAUGCCCUUUUCAAAGUUGGAGACAUUUUUCUUUAUGUGUUGCUUACUCAUGGUGUCUUCUUUGUUAACAGAGCCUUUCGGAUAAGACCCGUGUCAUUUUUCUCUCUCCCCCACCAAUGAAUGAGACACAAAUCCAAUUAGUUUUUGGGUACAUAUAUCUUUGAGUCUGCUUAAUCUUCCUAUUAAUUAGUAUUAGAAGCUUGAUCAAUAUCACUUUGUAACAUUGGUAGAAAUGCAAUAAAAGGACGGAGUAACGAAGUUUGCCGUCCAUAUGCAGAAGCGUUGUUGAAUCUAUGCAAUGAGAUUAAUGUAAAAAGUGUUGAUCUUUGGAACGCAAUACAGCAACAAGAUGAUUGGUUGAACACCUGCUUCACGUGAGUUAGUUAACAUUUUGUAUAUAUGAUACAUUUCUAAAACGAUUCUUCAUCAAUCUAACGAUCUAACUUAUUGGGGUUUGUUUUAACUUUUAACUUCAAAGUAAAAUAUAAUUAUAAAGAUAAAAAUGAUAAGAAAAUCAAUAGUGUGGACUUUUAAGGUUUGGUGGAGAUGUUCUUAUAGUGAAAGUGUCUCUCCUUAUGUAAGAUUCUUUACUGAGAAGUCUUUUUACAAAAAGAAUUAGCCUUUCUUGGCGUAUGCUUUUCGUUUUGUUUUGCUUAGGAUGCUGUAGUACAACCUUCUUUGGUGAUAGUCUACUUCGGUGGGAAUGAUUCAAAGGCUCCUCAUCCAUCAGGCCAUGGACCUCAUGUUCCUCUAUCUGAAUUCGUUGAAAACAUGAGGAAGAUUGGGGAGCAUCUUUUGGUACUUAUGCCCUUUUCAAUGCUCGCGACUUUUUCUUAAUAUGAUGCUAACUCAUGGUGUCUUCUUUCGUUAACAGAGCCUUUCGGACAAGACCCGUGUCAUUUUUCUCUCUCCCCCACCAAUGAAUGAGACACAAAUCCAAUUAGUUUUUGGGUACAUAUAUCUUUGAGAGCUGCUUAAUCUUCCUAUUAAUAGUAUUAGAAGCUUGAUCAAUAUCACUUUGUAACAUUGGUAGAAAUGCAAUAAAAGGACGGAGUAACGAAGUUUGCCGUCCAUAUGCAGAAGCCUUGUUGAAUCUAUGCAAUGAGAUCAAUGUAAAAAGUGUUGAUCUUUGGAACGCAAUACAGCAACAAGAUGAUUGGUUGAACACCUGCUUCACGUGAGUUACUCAACACUUUGUAUGAUGCAUUCCAAAAUUGAUUAUUCAUCAAUCUAACUCCUUGCUUUUGUUUUACUUCGUAGAGAUGGGAUCCAUUUCACAGCCAAGGCAAGCGAGGUUGUCGUGAAGGAGGUAUUGAAGGUAGUGAAAGAAGCGGAUUGGAAACCGAGUCUUCACUGGAAGUCGUUACCAAUUGAGUUUCCCUUUGAUUUUGGUGUACCAAACUCCCUAAGCCUUUGUGAGAUAGAGUUAAUGAGAAACGACCAAUUGGAGCCACCCCCCUAGUGCGACUCUACUGUAAAACGUUUAUAGAACAUGCUACUGGAAUGGUGUACCAGUUUCACGCUUUAUUUGCAUGCUUUGUUUUGAACCGUUGUCUUCGGAUCAUAACAAGGUCGUUGAAUAACAUGUAAGAUUAUAAUGUAAGUUCAAAUAUGUGGGGUUUCAAGUACUUUAGGUGUCGUAUUUCACAAAUAUAUCCCGCAGUUUUGACAUGGGCUGACAGUGCAAAACCAUUGGAUCCCACAAAUUUGUUGUAAGUUUGAAAGCCCUACAAAGUCUUAAAUUGUGACUCAAACUUUCAAAUUAUUUGUACAAAUAUUUUAUUUUUAUUCUAGUUUGUCUAUAGGCUCAUAAUUAUUUUGAACCCGGCUAGAUAUAUGUUUUAUUUCUUUUGUGUUGAAUGAUUACUUUUUUAUUAAACCUCUCUCGAGAUUGUUAUUGACAUUCUGAUAGAUUUAGAGAUAUAUACAAGUUAAUGUACGUAAUAUGCAAUAGAUCUGAAUCAUUUGAUAUUAUGUUAUCGACAUUUUGAUAGAUUUAGAGAUAUUAUGUUAUAUUGCACAAUAAUUUAUUCUUUCUCCAGACUAGUGUAUAAUUAAGGUUUAGAGUUAGGUUUAGAGUUGAAAGGCUGAGUAAGGUUUUUUUGAAUGUAGAGUCUAUGGUUCUAAUUAAUAUAUGAAUAAAUACUUUAAUUUUUUAAAAAAUUGUUCAAAUUGUGGAUGUGAACGGAGGACGUAUCAGAGUGUUUGUGUUAACUUUAAUAUACAUAUAUCUUUUGUACUUAAAUAUUAUUAUAUUGUUGUUUAAUUAUUAUUUAUAUUCAAAGUUGUUUUGUUUCUUAUUAUAUAUUUUUAAACAAUAUUGAAUAUUGUUUUGUAUUAAAAAUAUUUUCAGUGCGGAUAAAAUGAUUAGUAGUACAAUAAGUAAUUAAUUAUCAUAAAUAUAAUAUAAAUGGACUAAUUAUUUUUGGACAGAAAAUUUGAUAUAUGUUUUAAUACUUACUAAAAGUUAAAAUUGUUUUAUAUUGAUUUUAUAUCUUAUUAUUUGUGUUGAAUCUUAUUUUGUAUUGGAUGUAUUUAGUAAGGCGGAUAAAAGUUUGCAAUUCAACAAAUAUGUAAUUGUUUGAAGUUGUACUUACUUUUAUGUCAAUUUUAUAUUGUUUAUGUUCACAAACAUGCUUUUUUGAAAUUAGUUAUUAUAAAUAAUAUAAAUGGAUAACUUACUUUUGGACAUCUCAAAUUAGUAUAUGUUUUAAUAUUUAUUAAAUUUUAAAAAUGAAGACUGAAUGUCUAUGUUUUAAUUAAUUGUCUAUUUUUAAUGAAGAGUAGUUAAGAUAUGUUGUUCUUUAAAACAAUUACUAAUGAUGAUUAUAUAUAAAUUAAUUGAUUGUUUAUGUAAGGAAAUAUUUUGUUCAAAUAUGUAAGCGUGAUAUUAUGUAAAAUAAUAAUUAAUGAUGAAAUAUAUAAUUCGUUAGAUUCUUAAUGGUAUUUGUUGUAAUUAAACUGUUAAUCUAAGGGUUAGUUCAUUUUUGUACUUUAGUUUUAAUAAUAUAUAUGAAUUAAAUAAAAAUAUAUUGGUUAUUUGAAAGUAGUAUUGGGUUGCGGGUUAAACAUGUCCCCCUUGAUCCGGCAAUUUACGGGUUGACUGAUUUUUUUUAUUCAAAAAUUUGACCAGUAAGAAGAAAAUAUAAAAUCCACACCCGUCCACUCAAUAAUAAGUAAUAUUAUUUUACAUAUUUUUAUAAAAUAAUAAUAAAAAAAUCUAUUUAUAAUUAAAAUUAAAUAACAGUUUGUAAUUUUUUUAAAUAGUUGUUAUUCAUUAACUUUUGUAUUAUAAUUUUUGUAGGUUAGCGGUUAUCCACAGUUAAACUUUGGCUGAUUUUCACUAUCCCGAAUAAAAAACACUCGAAUUUGUACCUGCAAAUCAAUUUUUUUCAAAUCAUCGAUCAAUAUCCGCUCCGCGACAAAUGAAAUGAGACGGGCCCGCAGAUAAUGAUUCAGAUGUCCAGUCUUAUUUGAAAGGGUAAGAAAAAUAUUUUAUAUUAAAAUGUAAAAUGACAUUUUUAAAAACAAAAAAACUCAACUUUUUAAAAAGUGGAAGGAGUACAUAAAAUCCAAAAUAUGGAAUUCCCCAUACACACAUAAUUCAAUACUAAUGAAAAAAAAAAAAGAAAGAAUCAAAGUGUACAUACACGUUAACAGAGCGAGCUUAGCAGAACAAUACCAAAAUUUGCAAACACGAGAGGGGCCAGAUAAACACAGACCGGUUGUUUGAUACCUCAAGUUGAGGCUAAACUAGUGAACCCCAGAACUCAUAAUAACCACGCAAAGACUUUGAUAGCCGGGCGUGAUUUCCAGUGCUGCUAUUAUUUUUUUCUGAUCAAUUUCCACUGCUUCUCUAUAUAUUAACAGAAAACAUGUCGACUAGGUGAGCCCACAUAAGAUUAGGAAUAUAUUCUUUUGUUUUUUUCUAGGAACUAUUGUGGAAUUCUGGUCGAUGUGUCAGUAGUGACGAUCUAACGACCACAACACAAAUGAUUGAACUUUUUGAUUGUGAUUAAAAAACAACUCCAUACACUAAAAAUAAAUAAAAAAGUAAUUAUAAGGAUAACAUUAGAGGAUAUACGAGGAAAAUAUUUCAUUUGAAAUAUCAUAAGAUAUUUUCUAGAAUUGCUAAUAACAUUUGUCAAUAUAUAUAUAAAUUAAUUUUCUUUUCAAACAUGAUAAAAUCUCACUCCAUAUACUAAAAAUAAAUAAAAAAUAAUUAUAAGGAUAAAAUUAGAAGAGAUACAAGGAAAAUAUUUCAUUUGAAAUAUCAUAAGAUAUUUUCUAGAAUUACUAAUAACAUUUGUCAAUUUAUAUAUAAAUUAAUUUUCUUUUCAAACAUGAUAAAAUCUCAAUUAAUUAAAUAAAUUUAGUUAAUAUACUUUUUUUAAAAUUUAGAAAUCCAUUUUAAAUACUUAUCAGUUUCGUUAAUCAGAGCAUUCACCAAGCAAAGUGCUCUCCUUCACCCGGUGAGAGAAGAGGAAGCAAAGAAAGCCAUGGUUGGACCAGGAAGACCUCAGAUCGUCCUCUUCGGUUCUUCAAUCGUUCAGUACAGCUUCAGCAAUGGUGGCUGGGGAGCCUCUCUCGCUGACGUCUACUCUCGCACGGUUUCUCACUCACUCUUCUUCUCCUCCUCAGCUAUUGAAAAGUCGAGAACUUUCACUCAUUACAUGUUUUCACUGUCACCAACCUAAUGAUUGGUGCCUUUUCGAAUCGGAUCCAUCA